rnacentral:rRNA from 1 species
GUAGGUGGCAAGCGUUGUCCGGGAAUUAUUGGGGCGUAAAGCGCGCGCAGGUGGUUCUUUAAGUCUGAUGUGAAAGCCCCUGGGCUCAACCGGGGAGGGUCAUUGGAAACUGGGGAACUUGAGUGCAGGAGAGGAAAGUGGAAUUCCACGUGUAGCGGUGAAAUGCGUAGAUAUGUGGAGGAACACCAGUGGCGAAGGCGACUUUCUGGCCUGUAACUGACACUGAGGCGCGAAAGCGUGGGGAGCAAACAGGAUUAGAUACCCUGGUAGUCCACGCCGUAAACGAUGAGUGCUAAGUGUUGGGGGGUUUCCGCCCCUCAGUGCUGCAGCUAACGCAUUAAGCACUCCGCCUGGGGAGUACGGUCGCAAAGACUG